GAUGAACGCUGGCGGCGUGCCUAAUACAUGCAAGUCGAGCGAACGGACGAGAAGCUUGCUUCUCUGAUGUUAGCGGCGGACGGGUGAGUAACACGUGGAUAACCUACCUAUAAGACUGGGAUAACUUCGGGAAACCGGAGCUAAUACCGGAUAAUAUUUUGAACCGCAUGGUUCAAAAGUGAAAGACGGUCUUGCUGUCACUUAUAGAUGGAUCCUCGCUGCAUUAGAUAGUUGGUAAGGUAACGCCUUACCAAGGCAACGAUGCAUAUCCGACUCUACGUACUGAUCGGCGACGCUGGGAGCUGGACACGGUAUCGACUACUGCGGGAGGCAGCAGUAGGCAAUCUAUCGCACUGGGCGAAAGCCUGACGGAGCAACGCCGCCUGAGUGAUGAAGGUCUUCGGGUCGUAAAACUAUGUUAUUAGGGAAGAACAUAUGUGUAACGAAGGGUGCACAUAUUGACGGAACCGGAUCAGAAAGGCACGGCUGACUACGGG
rnacentral:rRNA from 1 species